AAUGCAGUACUUUGUGAUGAUGGGCUUCAACUUCAACAGAACUCAAGCCCAACAUCCAGCUCCAUACAAAACCCUAGUUGCAGACCUAUAAAUUCACAAUCACCAACCCCUUCUCACCUUCGGCCGCGCGAGUCUCCUCUUCCUCGCUGUUUUGGGUCUCCUUGCUUCGGUUAAAGUUAACCUUUUGCCCUUUUAUUUUACUUACAAUGCUGAAUUUGGAAUGCUAGUGCUGAAAUGUGAGAGAAGAUCACGGUGAUGACUCAGGAAAUUCAAGCUCAACAGACCGGAAUGCAGGCCUCUCUUUUUCUAGAGAGCUUUGCGUGUCGAUCUUCCCGCUGACCUGAGUGAUCUUUUUCUCUCACAAUAUUUGGUUCAUCAGCAAAAUAUUCUAUCUCGUAUUUUUUUUAAAUUUUUAGCUUUUGAUUUGAAUUGAUUUCUUGUUCUUAAAUAUGAGAAUUCGGGUAAUUGAGGUUGCAAUGAGGAUUCACAGCUCCCUCUUCUGAGUUAAAGUUGAGGAAAUCAGCUGGCAGAAUCGAACCUAUGACUUUUUAGCCACCACUGAAUCACAAUGAUGACUUGCAAAAUUCAAGCUCAACAGACUGGAUUACAAGCUUUUUCUUGGAGAAGUUUGUAUGUCGACAAUGACGCUAUACUGAGUGAUCUCUUAAUCAUGAUUUAGUGCUAGGGCCAUCUAAGCAUAUUUGAAUUUACUCGUGAUGUUUGCAAAAUUUGUACGAUCACUUGAGAUUGUACAAGAACGAUAGAGUCAUAGCACUCUUUGACACAAUUUAUUUUUCUUGUAUGCCAAAAAUAUUUCUAUUUCCUAUUCUUUAUCAACUGCAUAUAUCAAUGUGCUACAAAAGCUAUUGGUGAGGUUUACCUUGUCAUUUUGUGAACUAAUUUGUUUGUUAAUUUUGAAGGACUUGAGGCAGAAUUUUUUUUAAAAAAAAAUAAAUUGUUAAAUGCAGGUUGAACUUACUUGGUAUCUGCCGUCAUGAUAACCUGGAUGCAAUCUCACAUGUAUAUUUCAGAAGAUAAGUUGGAAUGGGUGCUCAAUCACUGAUUGAUUUUUUAUUUUCUAAUGACCUUUUCAAGCGAGAGUUUUACUCGGAUUCUUUUUCUAUAAUGUAAAAUAGAUCAUAAAGGAAAUUAUUGUUUCUAUGCACCACACCAGAUCCUAUUAUACUUGUAUCCUAAUUGUUGGUUGUAUAUAUUGAAUCCUGUUGUUCGCACGUACUUGUGAAGAAACUCUACUUGGUUUAGAGCACUGACUACGUGUCUACAUCUGAAGGGUUACCUGCCUGUGUAAUUGGGCAUUUAACUACAACCGUCAUAGCAAGGUGAAAGCGGCAUGUCAUGUAGAAAUGCAAGGUCGAGACUUGUGAUUUUGAUUGAAAUGUGGUAUAUUGGAUUUUCUGUUUA